AUGAGUUCUCUGAGCUACAGGAAGCGGGCUAACCUCAAGGACUCCAUCGGGGGCCAAGGGGACGAGGAGACCCUCUUCUCCACCCUGAGCGAGCGCCCGGCCUCUCCAGACCGCUCCUUCCGCAAGGCCAAGCGCAACUCGGCAGCAGCAGCGGGAGGUCUGGAGGAAGGCAGCGGCUCUGUCGCCUCGUGGAAGAAGGCCACCGGAGGUGGGGCGGAUGAGCUGGACGGGAGGAGCUCCGUCCUCUCUCAGCCCUUCUCCGAGAGCAGCACCGCCGGCACUGGCACCAGCCACCUUCGGAAGGAGCUGGAGAAACGCUGGCCGGCCUCCGCGGCCGAGUUGGACAAGGCCUCCCUCCUUUCCGCCCCGGUCAGUCGCGGGGGAGCGUCUUGGUGUGGCGGCCUGGAGAGCCGGGAGGACGACGCGAGGUCCUCGCUCAGUUUUGCCCUCUCCAGCCCGGGUAGCUUGCGGCGGAGCACUUCCCGCCUGGACAACCUCGGCUCUUCCGGCAGCCGGCCGAGCUCGCGCCUCUCCUUGGGCCGCGCUCCGGCCGACGAGGCCGCCGGCGUGGACCCGAGCGACACCUUCUCCCUCUACAGCCACCCCUCGCUCCCCCGCAGCCUCUCGGUGCCCCCACGGCCCCGAGCCUCUGCUUCAGAGGAGCUGCGGGCGGAGGACCUGGAUCUCCGGCCCGUCGGCCACCGCAGCUACCUCGACCCCGACCUGGAGGCUGCCAUCCACGAGGUGCUGAACUACAAGCCCGUCCAGUUCAAGCGCUCCAGCCUGGAUCCCGACUCCGAAGACGAUGACCGGAAGAGCGUCCGGAGCUCCAGGAGCCUCGCUUUGCAGGAGAGGACGGAGUGCCCGGCCGGCAGCAGCCUGCGCCGGUCGGCCUCGGCCUUGGAUUUCUCCCGGCCUCCCGGCGUCAAGGCCAAGGGCCGAAAGAGGAGCGACAGUUCGCCCAGCGACUCUUCCUCCUCCUCUUCCUCACCUUCUCCCGAGCGACAACGGAGGAGCUCCCGGAAGCAUGCCAGGAAGUCCAAGAAGAAAUCCAAGAAGAAGCAGAAGUCGCGUUCGCGCUCUGGGUCUUCCUCGGAGUCCUCUUCCUCCUCCUCCUCCUCGGGCUCCACCGUCUCGUACCGCAGCAACUCCAGUGUGAAAAAGGGGCCCCGGCGGGAAGAGGGCGACUCGGGGGCGGCCAAGGAGGGGCAGGAGGCCGGCAAGUCGAACAAGCAGCUCAAGAAGGAGGAGAAGCAGCGCAAGAAGCAGGUGGACAGCCUGAUGAUGAAGUACCUCUACCGGCCGGAGAGCGACUAA
rnacentral:lncRNA from 1 species